UUGCAGGAAUCAUCUCGAGCGGUUCUUCAAUCAAAACAAAAUCUAGACUACAAGCUGUGGGAUAUCAUUCACAACGUAAGGAAGCAACAUUCCAAAUAUUCUUACUCUCAAAUUACCUCCAUGUUGUGGAGCUGGAGGAGCCGAAGCUCGCGGAAGAAUGAGAGGCUCUCGAGGAAGGAGCGAGGAGGCAGCCCACCACCGUUAUCGCCCGAGGGGAAUUCACCCUCCGUCCCCGACUCCAGAAUCCCGCACAGAUAUUUCAUAACCCUUCCUCUAUCCCGACCGUCCCGUCCCUAUUAAUUGCCGCGGCAAAUAACCCGUGAUACAUUCCAUCCGAAACCGGAAGUCCAGCGAUACCCAUACGCGUCUUCUGGGAAAAUUCCCGUCGGAAAAUACUGUCGAGCCAUGGCAGGACGCCAUUCAUGCAGCUCUUGAAAGCCGAGAACGUGUAAACCGUUCAUUUCCACGCUAACCUAUCCAGCAACGAACCUUUAUUAACUGGGGAGGGCUGAGUUCAAAAUCGACCGUAUACAUCGCAUGAGAGAAAUUGGGAUUACUAGGACUUAUUCAGGUUAUAUCGUAUUCGCGAUCGUGAUGAAUUGAAACGAGAGGUAUCGAGAUAAUCUAUCCUAAAAAAAAAUAGUACAUAAUUAAGAGACCUACCUCGAACUUUUCAUAACCAGCGACCAUGAAACACGGGAGGAAUAGUUUAGUUUUUCGCUGACUCUUUUAAGGGCCGCGUCCCGCCCGUAUCGGA
rnacentral:lncRNA from 1 species